UAAUACGAAGGGGGCUAGCGUUGCUCGGAAUUACUGGGCGUAAAGGGAGCGUAGGCGGAUCGUUAAGUUAGAGGUGAAAGCCCAGGGCUCAACCCUGGAAUUGCCUUUGAUACUGGCGAUCUUGAGUAUGGGAGAGGUAAGCGGAACUCCGAGUGUAGAGGUGAAAUUCGUAGAUAUUCGGAAGAACACCAGUGGCGAAGGCGGCUUACUGGCCCAUUACUGACGCUGAGGCUCGAAAGCGUGGGGAGCAAACAGGAUUAGAUACCCUGGUAGUCCACGCUGUAAACGAUGAGAGCUAGUUGUCGGCACGCAUGCGUGUCGGUGACGCAGCUAACGCAUUAAGCUCUCCGCCUGGGGAGUACGGUCGCAAGAUUA
rnacentral:rRNA from 1 species